UACGAAGGGGGCAAGCGUUGUUCGGAAUCAUUGGGCGUAAAGCGCGUGUAGGCGGUCUAUUAAGUCGGGUGUGAAAUCCCUCGGCUCAACCAAGGAAGUGCAUUCGAAACUAAUAGACUAGAAGGUGGUAGAGGAUGGUGGAAUUCCAGGUGUAGAGGUGAAAUUCGUAGAUAUCUGGAGGAAUACCGGUGGCGAAGGCGGCCAUCUGGGCCACCCUUGACGCUGAGACGCGAAAGCGUGGGUAGCAAACAGG
rnacentral:rRNA from 1 species